UACGUAGGGGGCAAGCGUUGUCCGGAAUCAUUGGGCGUAAAGAGCGUGUAGGCGGCUCGAUAAGUCUGCUGUGAAAGUCCAGGGCUCAACCCUGGAAGGCCGGUGGAAACUGUCGGGCUAGAGUCCGGAAGAGGCGAGUGGAAUUCCCGGUGUAGCGGUGAAAUGCGCAGAUAUCGGGAGGAACACCAAUGGCGAAGGCAGCUCGCUGGGACGGUACUGACGCUGAGGCGCGAAAGCGUGGGGAGCAAACAGG
rnacentral:rRNA from 1 species